GACGAACGCUGGCGGCGUGCUUAACACAUGCAAGUCGAACGAUGUAGCUGGAGCUUGCUCCGGUGGAUUAGUGGCGAACGGGUGAGUAACACGUGAGCAAUCUGCCCUUGACUCUGGGAUAACUGCGGGAAACUGUAGCUAAUACCGGAUAUGAGGCUUGGAGGCAUCUCCAGGUCUGGAAAGAAUUUCGGUCAAGGAUGAGCUCGCGGCCUAUCAGCUAGUUGGUGAGGUAAUGGCUCACCAAGGCGACGACGGGUAGCCGGCCUGAGAGGGUGACCGGCCACACUGGGACUGAGACACGGCCCAGACGCCUACGGGAGGCAGCAGUGGGGAAUAUUGCACAAUGGGCGAAAGCCUGAUGCAGCAACGCCGCGUGAGGGAUGAAGGCCUUCGGGUUGUAAACCUCUUUUAGCAGGGAAGAAGCGAAAGUGACGGUACCUGCAGAAAAAGCACCGGCUAACUACGUGCCAGCCGCCGCGGUAC
rnacentral:rRNA from 1 species